GAGGGUACAGCUCAGUGGUAGAGCACAUGCUUAGCAUGCACAAGGUCAUGGGUUCAAUCCCCAGUACCUCA
rnacentral:tRNA from 1 species